UACGUAGGGCGCGAGCGUUGUCCGGAAUCAUUGGGCGUAAAGAGCUCGUAGGCGGCCUGUCGCGUCUGCUGUGAAAUCCCGGGGCUUAACCCCGGGCGUGCAGUGGAUACGGGCUGGCUGGAGGCAGGCAGGGGAGAACGGAAUUCCCGGUGUAGCGGUGAAAUGCGCAGAUAUCGGGAGGAACACCAGCGGCGAAGGCGCUGCUCUGGGCCGGUACUGACGCUGAGGAGCGAAAGCGUGGGGAGCGAACAGG
rnacentral:rRNA from 1 species